rnacentral:rRNA from 1 species
CGUUCCCGGGUCUUGUACACACCGCCCGUCACACCAUGGGGGCGGGAUGUACCAGAAGUAGCUAGCCUAACCGAAAGGAGGGCGGUUACCACGGUGCGUUUCGUGACUGGGGUG